CAGCAGCCGCGGGAAUACGUAGGUGGCAAGCGUUGUCCGGAAUUAUUGGGCGUAAAGCGCGCGCAGGCGGAUCAGUUAGUCUGUCUUAAAAGUUCGGGGCUUAACCCCGUGAGGGGAUGGAAACUGCUGAUCUAGAGUAUCGGAGAGGAAAGUGGAAUUCCUAGUGUGGCGGUGAAAUGCGUAGAUAUUAGGAAGAACACCAGUGGCGAAGGCGACUUUCUGGACGAAAACUGACGCUGAGGCGCGAAAGCCAGGGGAGCGAGCGGGAUUAGAUACCCCUGUAGUCCCUGUCUCUUAUACA
rnacentral:rRNA from 1 species